rnacentral:rRNA from 1 species
AGUAACGCGUGGAUAAUCUACCCUUAAGAUGGGGAUAACGGCUGGAAACGGUCGCUAAUACCGAAUACGCUCCCGAUUUUAUCAUUGGGGGGAAAGAUGGCCUCUGCUUGCAAGCUAUCGCUUAAGGAUGAGUCCGCGUCCCAUUAGCUAGUUGGCGGGGUAACGGCCCACCAAGGCAACGAUGGGUAGCCGGUCUGAGAGGAUGACCGGCCACACUGGAACUGGAACACGGUCCAG